AUUGAACGCUGGCGGCAGGUCUAACACAUGCAAGUCGAGCGGAUGAAGGGAGCUUGCUCCUGGAUUCAGCGGCGGACGGGUGAGUAAUGCCUAGGAAUCUGCCUGGUAGUGGGGGACAACGUUUCGAAAGGAACGCUAAUACCGCAUACGUCCUACGGGAGAAAGCAGGGGACCUUCGGGCCUUGCGCUAUCAGAUGAGCCUAGGUCGGAUUAGCUAGUUGGUGGGGUAAAGGCUCACCAAGGCGACGAUCCGUAACUGGUCUGAGAGGAUGAGCAGUCACACUGGAACUGAGACACGGUCCAGACUCCUACGGGAGGCAGCAGUGGGGAAUAUUGGACAAUGGGCGAAAGCCUGAUCCAGCCAUGCCGCGUGUGUGAAGAAGGUCUUCGGAUUGUAAAGCACUUUAAGUUGGGAGGAAGGGUUGUAGAUUAAUACUCUGCAAUUUUGACGUUACCGACAGAAUAAGCACCGGCUAACUCUGUGCCAGCCGCCGCCGUAAUAC
rnacentral:rRNA from 1 species